rnacentral:lncRNA from 1 species
AUCAUAAGGAAUUCUGAAAUUUGGUUUCAUGGUUUAUAUAAGUCAGCUAUACUGUGUGAUGUGUUUUCAGAUUCAUCACUCAACAACUUCCUGUUAACUGAACAGUAAGAUCAUUUUACACAUUAGUAGCCAAGUUGAAAAUGUUCUUCACAUUUUUCUCAGGAACUACAAUACAUGGAUUUCUGAAAGAGGGACGAAAGAUACCAGAGG